UUUUCCCCAUUCAUUAAAUGUUACGUGAUAGCAUGUGACCUCUUUAAACCCCCUUUUUUUUAUAACAAGGGUCAAGAACGACCAAUGAGACGAUGGUGGAUAAGCUUCGUCAUCGAGAGGGUAAGGCCCCUAUAUGACCACUCAGUGAUAAAGGAGGUAGGGGUGCAGCCAUGAGGUUUGCCUAGAAGCAACUACCAUUGAAAGAGUGCAUAAUAACUCAUUAAUCGAGCGCUUUUGCGUUGAAGAUGAAUGGGGCUAAGCGAUCUGCCGAAGCUAUGGGAUGUAAAAGAUCAUUGGUAGGGGAGAGUUUCGCGUUAGGGAAAAGCAUCAACGAGAGUUGUGCCGCGAAGCGGAAGCG
rfam:Beta vulgaris subsp. vulgaris Bvchr4.sca017.con0070.1, whole genome shotgun sequence.